UACGGAGGGAGCAAGCGUUACUCGGAAUUACUGGGCGUAAAGGGUGCGUAGGCGGCGCGGUAAGUCGGGUGUGAAAUCUCGGAGCUUAACUCCGAAACUGCAUUCGAUACUGCCGUGCUUGAGGACUGGAGAGGAGACUGGAAUUUACGGUGUAGCGGUGAAAUGCGUAGAUAUCGUAAGGAAGACCAGUGGCGAAGGCGGGUCUCUGGACAGUUCCUGACGCUGAGGCACGAAGGUCAGGGGAGCAAACGGGG
rnacentral:rRNA from 1 species